rnacentral:rRNA from 1 species
UACGGAGGAUGCAAGCGUUAUCCGGAAUUAUUGGGCGUAAAGCGUCCGCAGGUGGCUAUGUAAGUCUGCUGUUAAAGAGUGAGGCUCAACCUCAUAAGAGCAGUGGAAACUACAUGGCUAGAGUGCGUUCGGGGCAGAGGGAAUUCCUGGUGUAGCGGUGAAGUGCGUAGAUAUCAGGAAGAACACCGGUGGCGAAAGCGCUCUGCUAGGCCGCAACUGACACUGAGGGACGAAAGCUAGGGGAGCGAAUGGG